UACGUAGGGUGCAAGCGUUAAUCGGAAUUACUGGGCGUAAAGCGUGCGCAGGCGGCUAUGCAAGACAGAUGUGAAAUCCCCGGGCUCAACCUGGGAACUGCAUUUGUGACUGCAUGGCUAGAGUUUGGCAGAGGGGGGUAGAAUUCCACGUGUAGCAGUGAAAUGCGUAGAUAUGUGGAGGAACACCGAUGGCGAAGGCAGCCCCCUGGGUCAAGACUGACGCUCAUGCACGAAAGCGUGGGGAGCAAACAGG
rnacentral:rRNA from 1 species